CUCUACAAGUGUGACAUCAGCGAUCAUGGAGAGUCUCCAUCCAGCUGGAUCACUGUCACAGGGAAACCUACAACCACAUCUCCAUCUACUCACACACCUGUAUCUACAUCCAACUCUAUCCCUACAUCAGCUACUCGCCCUGGUCCUUCUGUUCUUCUUCAUGUGUUAAUCUCUGUUGGAUCAGUCUGUGUUGUGGUUCUACUGGUGUUACUGGCUCUACUGUUGAGAAGAGAUGUUGACCGGAAACCUGAAGAGAUUUCUACAGCUGUAGUUUACUCAGCAGUGAGAGCUGAAGACGUCAGUAUUGGAGACAAAACCAUCAGAAAGAGGAGUCCAAGACUUUAAACCAGAGCCAGACGUCGUCUACUCUUCACUGAAGUAGUCCACCAGUCCAACCACUGAUGUCCAGCUGCUGGUCUCUAACUGGUCCCCCAGCACCUCAGACCAGAGGACAUCCACAUUGAUUUUUACAUGUCUUAAGUCUUUUUUCUCACUGAGAAAACCCAUAGACCCAUAGACUCAAAAAUCGCAUCAUGGAUUUUUAAAGUGUCCUUUAAAAAGGAAUCACAGCUUCAUGGUUUUAUAAAAAUGUUUCAUGUCUUAAAAAAAUAUACUUUUUAUGUGUUAUGGCUCUUUUGUAGAAGUGAAAUGAGUUAAACAACUCAUAAAAUACAUAGAACACAUUUUAACUGGAAUUUAAAAAAUGUAUUUUGCAGCAAAUCCACAGUAGGAAAAUAAACAUGUUAAUCUGUG